UGUAUUUAGAAAUAUCAAGAAACAGAGGACGUUUUAUUGAUGAUUGUGCGAUUUGUGGUUAUUAAAAAUAAAAUAGUUUGGCAGUUCUUUUUAUCGUUAUUUUUAUUUGACAUCUCAGAGCCGAACCGACGUAGUGGUGUUUGGAGUGGAGACCUCCAGAUUUAAAAUAUUCUGUCGUAGAUUCGUAGAUUUUCAAAACGUAAGGUCAAAAACGAAAUUUGGCAUCAUGAAAAAAAGUAAAAGUUAUGAAGCGUACUAUGAAAAAGUUAUAAGCGUACUUCUACAUAUUUCAUUUAAAACAAACUGUUUUUCAAAAACUGUUGGUUGAACUGAAUAAAACCUAGAAAAAGUUGUUCUAAAUGAAAACAAAUUUUAUUGAAGAUAAUGUGACGAUAAUUGUCUUUUAACACAAAAAAAAAAAACAUAUUUAAAAAAGUAGUGGGUAAAAUCAUCAAGCUUUUCUAGUAAUUUACAACCUAAAAGGAAUCGAUAUUGUAUUCUAUCACUGAUCCGUAAUUUUUUUUUGAUGGUCAGCCAGAAAAUCCGACGAUUUUUAAUGACGAACACCUAAACGUCGAGAAUUCGGUAAUAUUUUGCGAUUUUGUUUUUAAAGGUUUUUUGAUAGCAGGAAAAACAGUAUUGUUAAUGCCGAAUGGAAUAAUAUAUGUAAUAAACAAAAUGAACUGUGA